GAGAGUUUUGAUGAGGACAGGGGUCAGGAACAAGAGAAGAGGGGCGAGUGGGAUGAAAUUUGAGAAAGGGCGAGAAUUGAGAGCUUGGAGAGAAAGAAGAGGGAAAGCUGAGUUUCGAGAGGAAAAUAGAGUACUCGUAUGAGAGGGUUUCUAAGGAAGUUUGGCUGAGAGAAAAAAAUGGAGAGAGAUGGGAGAAAGAUCUGAGAGAGGAUAGAGAGAAGAAAACGAACAAGGACUUUGCGAAGAGCGCAAUAGGUAAAGAAGGGUUUGAAUGAGAAGGGAAUACGACUUAAAGGUUCAACACCCACCUCUCCUUCACUUUCUCAUCCAGCAUCAAGAGGGCGUCCUAGUAACAUUUGGCGGCCCAAGAACCCUUGUUCCCUGCUGUCUUCAUCGCAUCUUGCAUCUACAGCUCAGAUGCCACCAUAUUCUGAUUCGAAAUUCAACUGAAGCAUCUACAUCCGAAAGUUGUUUUUAACAAAAAAAAAAAAAAAUAGAGCCUCUAUUGCAGCAUCAUCGAUCCAAUUCACAGACCACAAGAGAUCUUAAAUCAAAGAAGGAGAUUUGGAGUGGUCAUGAGGUGAAUGGAAUAUAUCUUCUUGAUGGGCUUUCCAAUCAUCAGUCAUCAUGUCAGCGAGAACAAUGAAUCAGUGAUUUUUUUCUCUUAAAUAAUGUAUUUUGCAAGAUCUGAAAUCAAAGAAGGAGAUUUGGAGUGGUCGUGAGGUGAAUGGAAUCUAUCUUCUUGAUGGGCUUCCCAAUCAUCAGUCAUCAUGUCAGCGAGAACAAUGAAUCAGAGUUAAUGGGCCAAAUUAUGUUUUGGCAUAAUUAGUUAGGGCAUUUGUCUUUCUUUGCAUUUUUUGUUUCCAAAGUUGUUUAAAUAUGUUAGUUGUCCAACUUAGAGUGUGAGGGUUGUCAAUUUGGAAAACAUUAUAGGCAUUCCUUUAAAAAAAGCAAUAAAAGAUGUUCUUCUAUUUUUUAUAUUGUUCAUA